rnacentral:rRNA from 1 species
UUUAUCUGGUAAAGCGAAUGACUAGAGGCCUUGGGGCCGAAACGAUCUCAACCUAUUCUCAAACUUUAAAUGGGUAAGAAACCCNGCUCGCUGGCUUGGAGCCGGGCGUGGAAUGCGAGCCGCCUAGUGGGCCACUUUUGGUAAGCAGAACUGGCGCUGCGGGAUGAACCGAACGCCGGGUUAAGGCGCCCGAUGCCGACGCUCAUCAGACCCCAGAAAAGGUGUUGGUCGAUAUAGACAGCAGGACGGUGGCCAUG